AACUUGGUGGUCUAAUGCAAUACCUCUGUUCUGAGUUAACAUCGUUGGAAGUGAGGCUAAAGCAGAAGAUCCCGGUUCGAGUCCGGGUCAAGUUC